AAGGCAGUUUGACGAUUGUUUCAGAUAGAAGGGGUGUUAGGGAAGCCACCUGAGCCAUCCUUAUCACCGAGAAAGAUUGUUGCUAACUGCUUCAGCCUUUCCUUCCAGUUCUUGCCAGAUCAAAGUCAGGUCAGGAGAGAAAUGUGAUUAGCUACGCAAGUUGGUACUUUCUUUUGGUGUAUUUUUGGGAGAGGGGUGUGAC